rnacentral:rRNA from 1 species
CGUAAAGGGUGUGUAGGCGGUGCUCUAAGUUUGGUGUGAAAUCUCCCGGCUCAACUGGGAGGGUGCGCCGAAAACUGGAGGGCUUGAGUGUGGGAGAGGAAAGUGGAAUUCCUGGUGUAGCGGUGAAAUGCGUAGAUAUCAGGAGGAACACCUGUGGUGUAGACGGCUUUCUGGACCAUUACUGACGCUGAGACACGAAAGCGUGGGUAGCAAACAGGAUUAGAUACCCUGGUAGUCCACGCCCUAAACGAUGCAAACUUGGUGUCGGCCAUUCACUUGGUCCGUGCCGGAGCUAACGCGUUAAAUAUGCC